CAAAAAAAAAAAAAAAAAAAAAAAAAAGAAUCAACUAAGAACUGAUUUUGGUCACAUGUCAGUGGAAAUCCACCCCUGUUCAGGUGCUAGUUUUACUGGUUUCCAGGACGUUUUCCUGGUAUGAAUCUCUGGCAAGAGUGGAUUUUGACCUCAGUUGAUGGAGGCAGUUCAGUUUGUUUCAAAACUUAACAGUUGUGUGACCUAGUCUGAAAUAUUUAAAAUUUCUUAGUUUUUCCCCGUUAUAUUUAAAAUUUAAAAUUGAUACAGGGUCCUUGAGAUGACUGCUGAUAACACAGAAUAGUGCCUAGCCUUGAAGGCGCCUGCUGCAUAGGGGGUAGUUCAUAAAUUGUAACUCAUCAUUAGUAUUAACACUUGUUGCAGAUUAUUACUUAUCUACAAGUUACAAGCAUGCUUAGGUGCUUUAAAAAUCACCAGUCCUUUAGCACACAAGUACAUGGCAACCACUACCCCUUAGCCAGAGUCUACCAGAUCAAUAAUUUCACUUCCUUUACUGCAUCCUGUUGACCAGGUCCAGCUUCCACUUCAAAGUUAUCUCACGUUGUCCACAUUGAUACUGCCGCCAUCUCUCCCAGGGGAUGUGGGGAGGGAGAGUGGGACAGUCAGCAGCCUUUUAUGCUGCCCUUUAUAUGCUUGCUCUAAUUCUUUUACGCUGUGCUCUGCUUGCCUCUCUUUUAUCCCGCUCUUGAUUCAUUCAUUUAUCAAACAGUUAUUGAGUGUCUGUGUACUAGGUUGGAUACUAGGGAUACAAAGUUGACAAAGGCAUAGUCAUGCCCUUAAGAAUAUCACAGUCCAGUGGGAGAAGGAGACGUGAGCAGAUAACUGCAGCGCAAUUAGUUAAGUGCUACUGGAAGGUUUCCAUGGUACUUUUGGGAGCAACUAACACUUCUGGGGCAGGCAGACAAAGUCUCACAGAGGUAUCUGAGCAACUUUUAAAAAGGUGGGUAAGGGGAUUACCAAUCCAGGAGAUGGAGGUGAGGAUAGGGAAGGAAAAGAGAAAGAAAAGAAAACUACCAGAGACUGAAGCAUUGAGCAGAGAGAGGGUGGAUGGGUUCCAGUAGAGAAAAGCAUGGGCAUUUAACUUCACUGCAGGAUUUUAGGGGGAGGCUUAAGAAAAAAAAAAUGAAAUUCAGGAAAAAAAUGAAGUAAUAUUUCUCAAGGACAUAUUGCUUGAAUUAGAAGAAAAAAAUUUCCAUAAGAUUGCCCAAGAAAAGAACAUAUGUGUUCACUAUAAUUCCCACUGGAAAAUUGAAGUCUUUUAGAUUCAUGUUAUACUUUAUAGAAAUGCAGUGGUGAACAAAAAUUAUCAAGGCAUAUUUAGGCAUCAUUUGGGAAAGUUUUAGUUUAGCUUGCAUAAAACAUACUUUUAUUCUUUUUCUGCCUUCUUUGGUGAGUAGGUAGACUGCACUAUACUCUCUUAUGAGUGUUAUUGCAAUGAAAAGAAAAAGGAUGACCAUGGCAACCCAAUGUCCCCAUUCACAUCUCCAAAGCCUUUACAUUUCUUUUACCUUUUGAAAAAAAAUUAAAAGUUUAAAAGACUUUUACCACCUCUUUUGCCCCAUCAAAAUGAAACAUUAUAGCAAAGUAGGUCCAACCCAAUGAGAACCAGCAAAAACACAACUUUCUCACUUUCACGUUCACUCACAAGACCAGUGGGUUACACAGGAGUUGCUGGGAAAAGUUUCUCUCAAGAGUUAUUGAGCAGAAACUUCCAACUCUAGGCCCUGAAAGGUAACCAUACUAUAAAAUAAAACAGAGGAAAAAUGUCCUAGGACUGAUAAGGAGCAGGAAGAAUAUGUUAAUUGUGGUAAAUGACCCAAAACAUAACUUUUGACUACUUUUUCUGUUUUCUUCCUUGUCCCUAGAUCCUCUCCCUAGCUCUUACAACAAAUACCCAGUUCCUGUGGGUUUGUAACAUCUCGUUAUUCCUGAAGGAACAGAUCUGGAAGAAGGCAGACUUUUCUGUAAGCCCAAAAAUUCUUCAGGGUUCCUGGUCGCCCAGCAUGGCCAGGGUCUCAAACCCUCUAAUUCAAUCUGCUCUAAUGGAGUCAAGCUGACAGUAAAGAGAAGAUCAGAAACAGCGAGUCUAAUCUGCCUAUAUGGGAGAAAAUUCAGCAAACAGGAACCAGCUCAGAGACCAAGAAAACCAAACAAGGUUAUUAACCCACAUCAGAACACCAGAGAGAUAACAAGAAGUUGGUUCCAAGAUGAAAAAUGCAAGAGAGAAGCAGAUUGUGGAACAAAAGAGAGGAUGGUCCAUGUUCAUAUACACCUGAUUGUACUUAGAGCCUCACCCUUCCUUUCUAUCUCAGCAGGGACCUUCUGGAGAAGCUUUUCAUUCUGUGCACUUUUCUUUCUCUGGCUUUCUUUGUCUCUAGAUUUUCUUUGUUCUGUGCCUGAUCUGUCAUAAUCCUCUGAGGUUUUAUUCUCAUUCCUCUGCAUCUCCCCCUGAAAAAAUCUUAUUUUCUUACAAUUUCAGGUAUCCCAUAAUACUAAUUAUGGCUAAGCACCUCUUUGUUUCUAUGUGGAUCUUUUCUUGAAUCCUUGUUUCAUACCAUUAACUGCAUACAAAAUAUCUCCAUUUAGAAAUGAUAUUGCAAUUUCAAACUCAACUGUAUGAAAGUAUUUUUAUUGGUAUCUUAAAAACACAUUUCCACUGAUAAUACCAAUAUUUGAGUACUCCUCACCUUGUGUUCAGAUUACUGCAAUGCAUUCCUAUCAGGUAAUUCUUCCUUCAAUCUCCUGCACCUCAAAUCCAACUUAUUAAUAUCUUCAAAUUUAAAAGAAUUAAAUUCCAUUUUUAGCAUAUUAUCCCUCUGAUUGAAAGGAAAAAAUCUUAAUUUUUUUGUUACAAUAAAAUUUCUUAACUUAAAAUCAGCUGAGAACUCUUGCUGUGUUUGAGGUUACAAAAGUGCUUAACUAGAGACUGUAACAACACUAUUCAGCCAACAACAGGGGUUAUUUUUAGAAUCCUACUUACCAUUAGAAUUCUAAAUUUGAACCUGGACUUGCAGGUUACUAUGAGGGCAUAUUUGUCAGUGUUGGAGAAUGCAACAUAUUAUAUUUAACAAUUUGUUUUCCUAGUUUGUUAUUUCAUGUAUGUAGGUAUAAUAUGCAAUUGUACUCCUGCCCCACCCUUGAAAAUCUAGUGGAUGAGCCUAGAAAGAAACCUGAGGAAUCUGAUAAGACAUGAGCAGAGGCAGAAGCUUCAGCAAUUGUGGUGGCAACAGCCACAAGGGAGUGUAUGAGGUAAAGUUUGAAGAUCUACUAAUACAUUUAAGUUAGAAGAUUGAGGAAUAAAGUCUAUAUUCAUUAACCCAUCAUUACUAACCCUUCAUACAGUUCAUCAAACAUUCUUCGCUCGUGCUUUUAAAAUGGAAUACCAUGCUCUGCCUCCCCUUUCCCACUUCACCCCACCUGCACCUCACAUACCCUGACUGCUUUGAAUCUUUCUGCAAACCCUGAGUACUCAACCUUCUAUAAACUCCUACUCUACUCCCUAUACUACAUUUUUCUCCUAACUCCUAAGGCACAUUUUUGCCUAUCUUGGUCAUUUGGAAAUUAGCAUUCCCAAUUUUAUUCAGCCUUUUAAACUUCUUAAUGUUAUAAACAUCAUAUACAAAAGCUCUUCUAGAUUGUGAUCUUGUUGAGUUAAAGUACCAUGGCUUACUGAUCUCUCUUAGUGAAGAGGGAAUGUACCGAACCAUGUUAAAUACCCAGAUGAAGUGAGUUAAAGUUAUUUUCCCAAUGUUUGUUUCUUACGGGUGUUCCCUGAAAAACGAUUUAGCAUUAAAAUAAGUUUGGGCAGUUUUUACAAAGUUAAGCAUGUUUCUUUACUUCAAUGCUUAUCAGAGCCUUUAAUAUACUAUUAAAUAUGAUUAAUAUCUAAAAA